GGCUAUGUGCCCGAAAGACAAGGAUUACUUUGAUAGAGUAAACAAUAGGGGUUCAAACCCCCUCAUAUCCU
rnacentral:tRNA from 1 species